UCACAACUAGCUCCUUUUUUUUUUUCUCCAGCUGUUGCAAUCCACCAAUAACAUGCCAUCAAACUCCAAACCUCCACAAAUCAAAAUGCAGUCUACAAAAAAGGCACCGCUCCGAAAAGAGGACGGCACCGUGGCAGCCGGCGACGACGCGGCGACGAUAGCACAGCCAGCGGGCCCCAACACGACACAGCCGCCAAAGUCCGGGGGUGGUGGACGGAGACGGGGCGGCCAGAGGCACAAAGGAAAAGGCCAGAACAGCAGCACCAACUCGACAGCGGCGCCGUCCUCGUCGGGGAUAGGAAACUGCUGAAUCGCCCUCUCGUCCCGCCUCCCCGCCCCGCCCAGUGCAGACCUCCCUUCUCGAUCACUCCACCAAGUGUCUUCAUUCCACAAACCAUUAAGGAUACACGUGUUCGGAGCGAGACACACUCCUCAGUCUUACUACUCCUUGCCUUUUUACACCAGGUCAUAUAGUUUUUAUUUUUUAAAAAAAGGGAACACAACAGGGGGGUAUGCGUCACACCAAAAGCAUACACCUUUUUAUGCAUUUUAUCGUCAGCUGCCUUUACUACUCCCGAGUGGUUCUGGGUGACAGAAAGCAGUGUGGGCUUUUGAGGUUAGCCUCACUCAGGAUGUUGAUUUUAUUUAAUUUUUGUCUGUGGCAUCGGCUCUCCGGCUCAGGGGAGGGAAGGCAAGACAAAAAGGGGUCCAAUACCAAUACGAGCAGCUAUCAAGUGAAACUCCCCCCCACGCAUUCCCUGUGUAUUUGCAAUGAUAAGACAGUUGUACUAUUUAUACCGCAUAUGUAAAUUAGCUGUUAGUCGUACCGAUUGGAAAGAUGCCGUUGUACAAAAAAAAUGUAUGCAAAUCACAAAUGAAUGUAGCAGAGGGCACAUUUAAAAUUCUAGAUAUAUGGAAAAUGUAUAAAAAGAAAAAAAAAAGGUGUUGCAUUUUAUAAUUGUCAGUUAUUUAUUUGGCAUACAUGCAUAACAUUUACUCCUGGAUGGUGGGAAUCUCUCCACCUACUCUCUCACUCGCGCUCUUAGAUUCAGCAGUAUCCGUCACGCUUCCAUCGUCAGUCCAUGUACAAACCGUAUAGUACAAACACAGCACACACACACACACACACACACACGUCGUCACUCCAGCAGCUGCUAAUGAUUAUAAGACAUGCCGUACUACUUGUAACUCUAGUACUUCAUGCGUUAUGGCCUGUCGCUGUUACCAUGUUGUGACAUUUUAAAACACUUUGCCACAAAAUAAUAAUAAUAAUAAAAAAAAAAAACAACCCCAGACCAUGAAUAAACACACUUUACUGAACUUUU